CCUACGGGUGGCAGCAGUGGGGGAUAUUGCACAAUGGGGGAAACCCUGAUGCAGCGACGCCGCGUGUGGGAAGACGGUCUUCUGGAUUGUAAACCACUGUCCCCAGGGACGAAAAUGACGGUACCUGGGGAGGAAGCUCCGGCUAACUACGUGCCAGCAGCCGCGGUAAUACGUAGGGAGCAAGCGUUGUCCGUAAUUACUGGGGGUAAAGGGAGCGUAGGCGGGGAUGCAAGUUGGGUGUCAAAACUACCGGCUCAACCGAUAGUCGCACUCAAAACUGCAACUCUUGAGUGAAGUAGAGGCAGGCGGAAUUCCUAGUGUAGCAGUGAAAUGCGUAGAUAUUAGGAGGAACACCAGUGGCGAAGGCGGCCUGCUGGGCUUUUACUGACGCUGAGGCUCGAAAGUGUGGGGAGCAAACAGGAUUAGAUACCCCUGUACUC
rnacentral:rRNA from 1 species